CAAGGACUCAAAGCAGCCGCAGCAGGAGAUAUCAAACUUGUCGAGCCACCCAGAGACCAACAAUAUCAAUACCAGCAGCAACAUGAAUCCUGCUGAGAUUAAAGAUUUUCAGAUUGGAAUUGCAGAAAAAGAUGAAGCUAAGAAGCAACAAUUAGCUCCUAAAAGAAGUUCCAAUAAAGAUAGACACACUAAAGUUGAAGGCAGAGGAAGGAGGAUUCGCAUGCCUGCGCUCUGUGCGGCUAGGAUUUUCCAACUAACACGUGAAUUGGGUCAUAAAUCUGAUGGGGAGACAAUCCAGUGGCUGUUGCAGCAAGCGGAGCCAUCCAUAAUUGCUGCAACUGGCAAUGGAACAAUUCCAGCCUCCGCUUUAGCUGCGGCCGGACCCUGUGUUUCGCAACAGGGGAUCUCUGUUUCGGUUGGUUUGCAGCAAAAGAUGGGUGAAUUGGGUGCAAGUAUUAGUAGCGGUAGUAGCAGUAGGACCAUUUGGCCAAUGGUUGGUGGGAAUUUUGGGAGACCCCAUUUGGCCACAACAGGGAUAUGGCCCCCAUCUGCUCCUGACGUCACUACUUUGGGCCACAAUUUGGGCACUGAAAGUUCAAAUUGUCUGCAAAAGAUAAGUUUCCCUGGGUUUGACGUGCCGUCCACCAAUUUGAAUCCUAUGAGUUUUACAUCUAUGUUGGGUGCCACAAACCCCCAGCAGCUACCUGGGUUGGAGCUUGGAUUAUCACAAGAGGGUCCUAUUGGGGUUAUGAAUUCUCAGUCUCUGAACCAGUUUUACCAGCAGAUGGGGCAUUCAAGAAUGCACCACCAUUCACAACCGCAAAAUCAGCAUCAGCAGCCUUCUCCCGAGGAUGGUUCUCAGGGAUCAGGACAGUAGAGCUUGCACAUAAUUCCGAUUUGCGGUACAUAAAAUGAAAUUGAUGUUUCCCAAGCUAGAUUUUCUGUGAAUGGUUUUGCUUUUAGGAGGCGUUUCCUUAAAUAGUUUAAAAGACCUUUUUAUCAUUCAUUUUGCCCUUUAGAUCCUAGUGGAGUGUUUAUGUCUUGUUUGUUGAAAUAAACAUAGAAAUCAUAUAUCCAGAAGCAAUUUUCUCUCAUGCUUAUCUGUCAGCACAGGAAUGGGAUUUCCCUGAAUUCUGAACACCUAAGAGCCAAAUAUUCAGCUCUUAAUUCUUUAUGAUGGACCCUUAGGUGGAAGUUUAACGAUGUUUUUCUCAUUUUUAUUAGGCUAAUUCAGUGUGAACCUAGAAACCACCUAGGAUAGCUGGUUGCCCGGAUGAAUUCCGACCCUCAGUAUAUGGAUAGCUCCGCCAAUGAGAUACUAGAAAGUCGGUGUAUGUUUCUAUAUAGAUAUGUGUAUACCUGAUGUAUGUUGCUACCCAAACUAGCUUUCUUAUAGAAGAUCCAAGCAUCAAUUGAAAGUUCCAUCCUUUAUUCAGCUCAAUGUUCUUGAAAAGUUCCAUCCUUGGAGUUGUAGCUAUCUCCCCUCCCCCCCUCAACAGUUUUAUCUUCUCCAGAUGAUGAAAGCACUUGGAGUUAAGCCCUAAUUUGUCGUUGUUCCAACAAAUAAUAAAUGAGUAGAGGAAGGUAUGUGAAUCAAGCAUGGAAUGGAUUGAGGCAGUGCCAGCCCAUGAUAUUUUUAUUGGUUUUGCAUAAAUAUGAAGAGGCUUUUUCGUAAAUGUUACUUAUGUUUACCAUUCUAAUGGUGAAAUCGAUCUCUGCACUCUAUUCAGCUGCUUCUAAUAGAUACAGAAGCAGGUCUUAAUAUAGAAAAAGUUUUUUUCUUUUCAUCUUUAAAUCACCUUAUCCUCCACUAUAAACUCAGUACGUAAUCUGAUAAAUUUGGCAAGGCGUUGAUAUAUUUAGGUUAAGGAUGGUACAUUUAUAGAUUUAUAACAGAUCGAAGAAUCAAAGAAAGAGUUGUCAUUGCAUCAUUUGUUCAGUCAUGAUUGUGACGACGUCUGAUGCCUUACGACAUGAUUACUGGCAGGGACAUUUCUAUUGCAGUUGUGAUCUCAAGAAUGAGAAGUCAGUCAUACAUGCUGGUCCUUGCAGAUUCCUGUGGUGACAGAAAAAAGAUGUAAAAAAAAUGUAGUGUUACUUAUGGAUGAUACCUUUCAUAAGUGUGCAACUUUUCCUCCUGCCAUCUCUAGUCGUGUUCUGGUUGAAAGGUGCCGUGACUUGCUAUGGUUUUUUGCCAUUAAUGUUGAAGACUCAAAUUGACCUUAGCACCUUUAAUAUGGUCAGAUUUUGCGAAUUCAGGCCAAGGGUCCGGGUUCGCUGUAUAUACGUGGUAUAGGUGCAUAUGCAGAUAAGACUUUGGUCAAUUUUCAGUUUGAAAAGGAAAACUGUAAUGUAGGAUAUGCAAGAAAGUAUGAUCAACAGCAGAAUCAGUUGGCAUGACAAAGAUCAUGUCAAUGGUAAUUGCAAGAUAUUCAAAUCUGUAAAAGCAUGAAAGGAAGAUGCUGUCAAUGAAUGAAUUUUAGUGUUAAGUCAACAAAAGAUGUUUGCUUUCUCUUAUUCAGUCAUCUUCUACUUGAACUUCAUGGAUUCUUGAUAUACAUGCGAUUCAAUUGGAUCAUUUUCUUUGCUUCUGUCUU
rnacentral:lncRNA from 1 species